GAUGAAGAACGUAGCGAAAUGCGAUACUUGGUGUGAAUUGCAGAAUCCCGUGAACCAUCGAGUCUUUGAACGCAAGUUGCGCCCGAAGCCAUCCGGUUGAGGGCACGUCUGCCUGGGCGUCACACACCGUUGCCCUCCUAACACCACGUGCCUUUGAGGCUGCGUCGGUUGCGAAGGCGUACAUUGGCUUCCCAUGAGAUUUGCCUUGUGGUUGGCCCAAAUUCUAGUCAUUGGCGACCAAUGCCACGACAAUUGUGGUUGUCGAACCUUCGGUGCCCCGUCGUCGGUUUUGGUCGUGCACGAUGCAAGGACCCCAACGCAUCCAACAUGAAUGCUUUCGAUGCGACCCCAGGUCAGGCGGGGCUACCCGCUGAGUUUAAGCAUAUCAAUAAGCGGAGGA
rnacentral:misc_RNA from 1 species